GACGGAGGAUGCAAGUGUUAUCCGGAAUCACUGGGCGUAAAGCGUCUGUAGGUGGUUUAAUAAGUCAACUGUUAAAUCUUGAGGCUCAACCUCAAAAUCGCAGUCGAAACUAUUAGGCUAGAGUAUAGUAGGGGUAAAGGGAAUUUCCAGUGGAGCGGUGAAAUGCGUAGAGAUUGGAAAGGACACCGAUGGCGAAGGCACUUUACUGGGCUAUUACUAACACUCAGAGACGAAAGCUAGGGUAGCAAAUGGG
rnacentral:rRNA from 1 species